rnacentral:misc_RNA from 1 species
UUUGGUGGGUUGUUGGUUUGGGGCAAUGCCGUGUUGCCACGGUGCAGGGGGGCUGGCUGGACAGUAUAGAUUUGGUGGGAGGAGUGGUGCAUCGGUGGCGUUUCUUGGAUUGGGUAAAUUGGUUCUUGGUUUGGUAUUUGGGAGUUCAUUUGUGAGGAUUUUGAGUCAGUUCCCUAUUGGUAUACUUGGGGUGCUUCUGUUGUUUGCUGGGAUUGAAUUGGGUAUGGCAUCAAGGGAUAUGAACUCAAAGGAAGAAUCUUUUGUUAUGUUGGUUUGUGCUGCCGUUUCAUUGACGGGUUCCAGUGCUGCAUUAGGAUUCGGGUGCGGUAUUGUGCUGUUUUUGCUGCUGAAGUUGAGGGAAUUGGACUGCUUCCAUAGUUGCUUUGGGAGAUCAAACGGUGAAACUAGUCUCGAUCCA